AGAGAAUAUGAUGAUUCAGACAGUGGCGAUGAAGAAAAAAGUGGUAAUUACAGGCCUAAACUGAAGAGGCUGAGUGAACGUCUCGAUUUGCUCAACCAAGAGGUUGAAGCUGAGAAGGAACGAGGCGAGAAGAGUCAGGAGAAGCUUGAAUCUGCUGGGGAUGAGAGAUUCAAGGAGUCCAUUGAGACGCUUACCCUCGAUGAACUCAAUGAAUACAAAGAUAGGCUUCAGACAGUCCAUGGUAGGAUUGAAGGUCAAGUCAAUCACUUGCAGGCUUCGUCUUGCCUCAUGCUUCUCUCCAGA
rnacentral:lncRNA from 1 species